UUACCGGCUUGACAUAUUUGAAAGGACCUCGAGAACAGGUGCUGCAUGGCUGUCGUCAGCUCGUGCUGUGAAGUGUCGGGUUAAGUCCCUUAACGAGCGAAACCCUGUCCUAGUUGCUACCAUAUGGGACUCUAGGAGACUGCCGGUGUUAACCGGAGGAAGGUGGGGAUGACGUCAAGUCCUCAUGGCCUUUAUGCCGGGCUGCACACGUGCUACAAUGGCGCACAAACGGCACCGCAAGGGGAGCAAUCGCUAAACGGCCCCAGUUCGGAUUGAGGGCUGCAAUUCGCCCUCAUGAAGUCGGAAUCGCUAGUAAUCGCGAUCAGCACGCGCGGUGAAUAUGUUCCUGAGCCUUGUACACACCGCCCGCCAAGUCAUGGAAGCUGUAGGCCGAA
rnacentral:rRNA from 1 species